rnacentral:lncRNA from 1 species
AUCUCAUUGAGGUUGCAAUAGCACUGACACUUAAAGUUAAGUGUUUUCUUGCUUGGUCUUAGCACUCUAGCCAAAUGGAUUUUGAGGGCCUCCUAUUCAUGGGUCACAGCUGCUUGACUCAAGGAUUUUUGCCUAUGCAUGCCCUGACAGUCAGAUACUAACUCACUUGGAUGCCUGCCUCUCACACUGCUCUACUUUAUGAAGUCAAGACCAUUAAUAAAAUCCAGUUUACAGAAAGGCCUAGAGAAGGUUAUUUCUCUGAACACUUCGCUGUACCUACUUCCAUAACAGAUGAACUUACCAGAUGUAACAGAAGCGGUUCUUCUGUUCUCGUGGAAGAUGAAGUUGUCCUUUGUUUUGAUGAGUCCUGAAGGACUUAAAGGCUCCACUGGCAGACAGCAGAGAAGGGGAGAAGAGGAGAAGCAGCUGGACAUUGAAGACUCUGGUUUGACAUAAGAGAGAAGCAGCUUCACUUCAGAGGGACAACUUGACAUUGGGACAUCAGGGGAAGAAUGCCUUCUUCCUACUCCAUCCCCUUUCCAGCUCCCCCUCUCACUGAGAGCCACUUCCAUCAGCAAUAAAAUCCCCCACAUUUACUAUCCUUGAAUUUGUGCAACCUGGUUUUUCCUGGACACCAGACAAGAGCUUGGGAUACAGAAAACUGUCACACUAACCAUCUGCCCUCAUGAAAAGGCAGAGGGUCCACUGAGCUAUUAAACACUGAAGCUGUCUGCAGACAGCAAAGCUAAAAGAGCACUGUAACACACUCCCUCUGGUGCUUCAGGGGUAACAGGUAGUCCCGUAGACACCGCCAUCAGGCUACACGGAGUUUUGCUCCUUCCAGUACCCAAAAGCACUCACUCCAGCUUCUGCACCUGCUCACCUGCAUGCUCCCCCUCCCACGAGGGGUUGAAAGCUGCGGGCUGAGUAAGUGAGGCACCCCUGUCACAAGGCUUGAGAAGGGAUCAAGGAAAAUUUCCUGUUUCAUUAUGCUUUGUUCAUGCCUAUCUCUGGACAAGCAACUAUGGCCAGGGAAAAGGGGUUGUACAAUAUGUUCAGGAGAAGAGAAGAAGCUACUCUUUUGGCCAUUUUGAACAAUAGCCAAUUCACCACACAGCAUAAUUAAUGGUUUAGAAUUUUUUCUUCUUUUAUUUUUUUCUUUCUGUAGAGACAGUAUCUCAUUGUGUUGCCCAAGCUGGUCUCGAACUCUUGGACUCAAGCAAUCAUCCUGCCUCAGCCUCCCAAAGUGCUGGGGUUAUAGGCAUGAGCCAACACGCCCUGCCUAGAAUUUCAUUUCUAUUCAUUAAAAAUACAUCAAAUGGUUUUUAUAUUACAGUAAAAUCACUAUUUCAAAUGAUUAUUCCAUAUAUUUUAUGUGCAAAAUUAAGAGCUGCCAUAUUGUCUUUAAAGGCCUGCAGGUAUAGAAAGGACUCACUGCUUUUUAUGAACACAUCUCUCCUAUUCACACCUCCAAGAGUUAUUGCUUCUUGGUAACCCUCCAUUAAGCGUUUGAUUAAGUUCAAGGUGAUUAGAUUAUUAACACUUUAGUCAUGGUCUGGUUGGCUUAUCCCCCUACCCCUCUCCAUUCUUUUAAUCACUGCUCUAUUCAUCCACUCAACAAAUAUUUAAUGAGUGCCUAUUAUAUGCCAAUUCUAUAGAUACUAAACAUAAAUAGAGAUAAAUAAAGCAUGAUCUCUGCAUUUAAGGGCUAUACCAAAGAUGGGACAUCAGACAAAUAAACAGAUUAUUAUAAUACUGUGUAAGGGCCAAGUCCCCUUCAUCCUCUGAAAGUUCACUGAAAAUCAACUGACAAAAAGUAGACUAAUACAAGAAAAAGCACACAUUCUAUUAACAUGCUAUAGGCGUCUUACAAAAUAAGAUCUCUUAAAAAGGCAAAUGAUUGACCCACUUAUGCCAUGUCGAGGUUACAGAACUAAUAGGUGUCUGGAUCAUGGCAAAACUAAUUACAGGAGGGGGAGAAGAGGAGGCCUGGCUAGCAAAGGUGAUCUUGUUCUGUGGAUGAAACCUCACAGGCCUCAGCCCUCAGAAAGAAUAGAUGGUAAAUGUUUAUUUUAGGCUUUUAAAGGUGUCAGACUCUUGGCCAAUCUUUCCUAGAUCUGACAAAGCCUGGCUGCAUCAAUGUAGAUUCUCUACAGAUGCAAAUCACCGCCUCAACACACAGUUUUACAGAGCUGCUUCUGUUUGCAGACCCUCUGAAUGUUACAGGUAGUUAGACAGGCAUGAGCUGGGCAGGAGAGGGCUCUCCUCAACCCACCAGGAAUGUCAGGUGAUGAUUCAACGAUUAGCACAUUGCUUCUCUACAGAUGAUAAUUUGGCAGCAGGCACCAGGGAGAAGCAAAAAUAACUUCCAAUAAAAUCUCAGGUAUUGGGUGAAUGAGUCUAGACACGUAGAUUAGGAGACAAAAUGGCAGAGCAUGACCUUCCGGGGGCAGUCCACCAGAAAAGAGAAGAAGACCUGAGAUGUGCCUGUGUACAACCUCCUGAAUACACUGCGUGUGCUCACUUCCCAAGCAUAAGGAGGGCACUCCACAUGCAGGCAGCCCACCCUAAGGGAAGAAUCAUGGGAAAGGGGGACGUGAGAAGCAGGAGGUCGGCCAGCCUAUAAAGUCCUGGGAUCAAGGUUAAACACCACUCUUGACCUCGAUGCCUCGUUGGGUCUCUUCCAAGUGUAUUUUUCUUUCUUUCCUGUUCUAAGGUCUUUUUAAAUAAACUUCCACUCCUCCUCUGAAACUUGCCUUUGUCUCUUUUUCUGGCUAUUCCCCUCAGUCGAAUUCUCUCUUCUGAGGAGGCAAGAGUUGAGGUUGCUGCAGACCCAUAUGGAUUCGCCACCGGUAAGUCAGAUACCUGCCAUGAGACUCAGAUAUUUGCCACCAGUAACAUGAACGGACAUUUCAAAAUAUGUCAAAGAAGUGUAUCUUGAGGGGAAGUAGAAUAUUCUCCUUCAACUGUACUGUAUGAUAAGUGCUGUGAUAGGUCUUUUCUAUUUUUCACUAGUCUCUGGGCCACAAGGAACAAUCUGUCCCUUUGCAUCUCAAAAUGCUUGCUCAUCCUACUCAGUUAGAAAUUAAAUAAUUCAAACUUAAAAUAAUUCAAAUAUAAAGCUGUUAGAACUUUUCAUUAUUCUGAGCCUUGGGAGGAAUGUGGCUAUGCAGCCUGAAUCAUGUACUCAGUAGCUACAAUUUCUGCCUUUCAUAUCUGUAAAUAAUUAGGAAGAACAAGUGGCACCAGAGAUAAGACCCCUUCAUAUCACUGCCCCUCCUCAUGGAGUAAUAAGGUAAUCUUCCUUGGAAUGUAGCAAUCUGCAACCAAUCAAAUUGCUGUGGUGUAUGCACUGGUCUUAUAUGGAAAAUGCAAUCUUGCUGGAACUUCUCUGUCUGCCUACAUAAGUGAAACCUUAACUUCUCCACUUCUGUACUCCAAAUGACUGCUGACCCCAUUCAUUUGGAGUUGGUGUUUCCAAGUGACCAUCCUAAAGCUUUGCACUAGAAAAAACUCCAUUCUGAAUCAUAUAUUUUUUUCCAAAUGGGAUCUCACUCUGUUGCCCAGGCUGGAGUGCAGUGGUAUAAUCACAGCUCACUUCAGCCUUGACUUCUCAAGCUCAAGUAAUCCUCCCACCUCAGCCUCUUGAGUAGCUGGGACUACAGGUGCCUGCCACCACACUCAGCUAAUUUUUAAAUUUUUCUGUAGAGAGGGGGUCUCACUAUGUUGCCCAGGUUUGUUUUGAACUCUUGGAUUUGAUCAGUCCUCUUACCUCAGCCUCUCAAAGUGCUGGUAUUAGAGGUAUGAGCCACCACACCUGGCCCCAAUCAUAUUCUUUGAAUCUCAUUAUUUAAGGUUAACACCAGUGAUGUCUACAUCUUUUCAAGCAGGGACUAACUUCUAUUCACAAUUAUAGAUAAGGAUUAAGGUGAAAACACCCUUGAGGACUAAGCGUUUUAAAUUCACACUGAGGUAAAAUGAGUGAUUUUAUAUCCUUUCUUGUAAGCAAGUUCCCCCACCCCUGCUCUCUGCCUGCUGUCUAGAAGAAGUAAAACCAGGAGUCCUCUGUGAAAUUACCACUAACCAGGCACCAUCUUAACGUGUUGUUAAACAUCAUCUGUUUUCCUCUGGGUACUAGCAGUCACUGAGUUCUCUCUUACUGAAAAAGCGAAGUUGCGUAUUUCAUUCACUUGCUUUUAUGAGUCCUUUGGCUCUUCUAGGCUUUCUUUUUUUGAUUUAACCAGCCCACAAACUAAAGUGAGUAUCUAUUAAUAUUUCCCCAGACCACUAUUCAAGGAAAUGAACCACUUGACAUUAAUCAUGAUGGCAGAACUCCUUGACUGACAGUCUUUUCUCAGAAUUCAUGAGGCUACAGUGCCUGUGGGUCACUGCUGUGCAAACUUUGCUAACCAAGACAUUCCCUGAGGAGUUUGUGAGCAGUUUGUUAGCAAGUCAUGUCCCUCAAGGGCUCUAAUUGAGUGGGUCUGGGGAAGGACCCAGAAAUCUGUAGUGUUACCAAACCUACCGGCUGAUUCUGGAGCUGGUGUUCCAAGGAACAAAUUUCAAAAAACCUUGCAAUAUAGGGUUUUUUUUUUUCUUAUUAAUGGGGUAAAUUUAAGUAUUUAAUUAAUGGGGUAAAUUCAUCCAUUCAUUCAAGUACUUAUCAAGCACUUUCUAUGUGCCUCCUAACUUGAUUUUUUAUUGCUAAUUAUUUUUAAUUUAAACUCCAUUGUCAAGUUUCACUUUUCUUAGGAGAGUUGCCAAGGGUGAGGCUUAUAAGAGACAAAGUGGAAUUGGCUGCGAGAGUGGUCACUUCAGCUGCAGGCGAGGAGGUGGGAGGGAUGACAUCCAGGCGGUUGGAAACCAUCUGGUAGGAAGCAAACCCAAUGAUGACCCUCACCUAAGGAACUUGGCUAUUUGUGUAAGCGUCCAGAGGGAGUGAUCCCUGGCCCCAUAACGUGCUGAGGCAAUUUCAAGAGUUACGAGAGGAUGAAGAUUUCAACAUGUGUGAUCAGAAAGUUGAAUGAGAUCUUUGUCUGGGCAGCUAGCAGGCCUUCUUCUGUUUUCUUUACUAUUAUACUGUGACUAACGAUUGGGUGUUUGGUUUUGGUUAUAACUUGAAAAUUGUUGUGAUCCAUGUGAAGUAAUGUCUUGUGAAUAUUCCACAUGGAUGCAGCCCCUACAUCGUCAGAUCUCUCCAGGUAUUUCGGAAAGAUUUUAAUCCCUCAGCUUAAACACAAGUUCCGUUUUAGGGCCAAUCCCCAGAUGGAGGAGUUAGAUGUACAUUCCUUCAAAGAGGCCCCAGCCAGCCACCCCAAGGUUUGGAGCCCGUGAGUGAGAAAGUCUGGAACUUUUGGCUGCUUGGUUUCAUUUUUUUAGUUUUCUUUUUGGGAGUGGUGGUAGAAUUUUACAAAGACUUGGUGGGGGAAGACGGGAAGAGAGCUGUCCCAGAAAGGAAGAUUUUAUACUCCAUACCAUCUUCUGACUUUCCCUUUUUAAAUGGUCUUGUGAUUUGUCUCCAGAGAAGAGUUGGGAACAGGACCUAGAAAGAAGAGGGGCAGCUUUGUUGGAAUUUAUUGCUGGUUCUGCACAGGCCCUGGCCCGGGUCCCAGGGACAUCAGGGCCCAGAGACCUCACGUGGCUUGUCCUCACCUGGCUUGCCUAGGUUUGAGGUGUUGCUCAAGACAGAGCCUUUGCUGCUGCCCCUGAACACUGCCUGCCAGCACCCCAGCCCACCACCCUGACCUCAUCACCCCGGAAAGGAGCAAGCUCAUCAAAUAGGACAGUGCUUGGGGUCUUCGCCAGUAGCUAGCACUGGCUGCUGUUUAUGAGCAUCUGUUAUACACAAGGCAGUGGAGCAUUCUCACAUUUAAUCCUCAACACAGUGCUAUCAGAGAUGGGGGUCUUGUUAUGUCACCCAGGCUGGCCUUGAACGCUUGGUCUCAAGAGAUCCUCCUGCCUCAGCCUCCUGCGUAACUGGGACUACAGGAACAUACCACCAUACCCAGUUACUUUCAAGGAUCUGAAUUCAGGUCUGUUAGUCUCCAAAUAACUGUACUUUUAACCACUACUCCUUAAGAAUUUGGUCAUUCAGGAUUAAGUUUAGCUGUAUAACCAGAAACUCCAAAUAAUAAAAGUUUAAAUUAGAUACAAAUUUAUUUUCCACUCACAUGAAGAAGUCCAGAGGUAGUCAAGUUGUGGCUAGUGAAUUCUAUUAGGGGUUCAGGCAUCUGCAGUGUUCUUGCUUUGUCCUCCUUAGCACAAUGUUUCCACCACUGGGUCCAGAGUGGCAGCCUGAGCUCAGCAAUUCCAUCUGCAUUCCAGCCAGCAGGAGUAAGGAUGAGGAGAAAGGGCAUGUUUCCUUCCUUUGGGGGCGUUUUUUAGACGAUACAUACCAAACUUCUACUUGCAUGUCAUUUGCCAUAACUUAGUCAAUGGCCAUACUAGCUGCAUGGGAAGCUAAAAAAUGUUACCUUUGUUUUGGGCAGUGAAGUGACCAGCUUAAAAUUAAGAAAUUGAUUACUAAAAAGGGAAAAAUGGUUAUCAGGAUACAACUAGUAAGCUCAACUACAACUGUUAGACCUAAGUCUGCAAUGCUAAGCCACAUAGUAAAUGAUGAAAAGUCAAAAGUAGAGACUUGAAUAUAUGAUGUAAAUUUUUCUAGGUCGCAAUUUUAUGCAUGGUUUAAUGUUUCAUUUUUGUCCAGUUGUUAAACUGUUUGCUAGAUUAACAAUAUUCAUCUUGAAUGUAAAAUGUUAUAGCCACUAUGGAAGACAGUUUGGUGGUUCCUCAAAAAGUUAAAUCUAGAAUUACCCUAUGACCCAGCAAUUUCACUCCUAGAUAUAUACCCAAGACAGCUGAAAAUAUAUGUUCACACAAAAAUGUGUACACAAAUAUUCAUAGCAGCAUUAUUCAAAAUAGACAAAAAUGUAAACAGCCCAAAUGUCCAGUAAUGAUGCAUGGAUAAACAAAAUGUGGUCGGUCCAUACAAUGAAAUAUUCAGCAAUAAAAAGGAAUGAAGUACUGAUACAUGCUAAGACACAAAUGGACCUUGAAAGCAUUAUGCUAAGUGAAAGAGGCCAGACAUAAUGGCCACAUAUUGUAUGAUUCCAUUUACAUGAAAUGUCUAGAAUAGGGAAAUCCACAGAGACAGAAAGUAGAGUAGCGAUUGCCAGGGAAUGGUGGGAAGGAGGCACAAGGGUGAGGUUUCUGUUUGGAAUGAUAAAAACGUUGUAGAAGUAGAUAGUAGUGUUGGUUGCACAACAUAAUGAGGACACUAGAAAUCACUGAAGUGGAUACUUUAAAAUGGUGAUUUUCAGCCAGGCAUGGUGGCUUACGCCUGGAAUCCCAACACUUUGGGAGGGUGAGGUGGGCGGAUCACUUGAGGUCAGGAGUUUGAAACCAGCCUGGCCAACAUGGUGAAACCCUGUCUCUACUAAAAAUAUAUAUAUUAAAAAAUUAGCCAGGCAUGGUGGCGGG